GCAGUCGUACGCUUCUUUUUCCCCGGAGCUUGCUCCACCGGAAAAAGAGGAGUGGCGAACGGGUGAGUAACACGUGGGUAACCUGCCCAUCAGAAGGGGAUAACACUUGGAAACAGGUGCUAAUACCGUAUAACAAUCGAAACCGCAUGGUUUUGAUUUGAAAGGCGCUUUCGGGUGUCGCUGAUGGAUGGACCCGCGGUGCAUUAGCUAGUUGGUGAGGUAACGGCUCACCAAGGCCACGAUGCAUAGCCGACCUGAGAGGGUGAUCGGCCACAUUGGGACUGAGACACGGCCCAAACUCCUACGGGAGGCAGCAGUAGGGAAUCUUCGGCAAUGGACGAAAGUCUGACCGAGCAACGCCGCGUGAGUGAAGAAGGUUUUCGGAUCGUAAAACUCUGUUGUUAGAGAAGAAUAAGGAUGAGAGUAACUGUUCAUCCCUUGACGGUAUCUAACCAGAAAGCCACGGCUAACUACGUGCCAGCAGCCGCGGUAAUACGUAGGUGGCAAGCGUUGUCCGGAUUUAUUGGGCGUAAAGCGAGCGCAGGCGGUUUCUUAAGUCUGAUGUGAAAGCCCCCGGCUCAACCGGGGAGGGUCAUUGGAAACUGGGAGACUUGAGUGCAGAAGGGGAGAGUGGAAUUCCAUGUGUAGCGGUGAAAUGCGUAGAUAUAUGGAGGAACACCAGUGGCGAAGGCGGCUCUCUGGUCUGUAACUGACGCUGAGGCUCGAAAGCGUGGGGGAGCAACAGGAUUAGAUACCCUGGUAGUCCACGCC
rnacentral:rRNA from 1 species